AGUUUCGAUCUUUGAACUCCCUCAGUGGGUUCGACACGGAUGAAUGACGAGA
rnacentral:sRNA from 1 species